rnacentral:lncRNA from 1 species
UAAUGUGGUAUAUAUUUACUCAAAAAUAUCAUUAUCAUUAUCACACUCAACAUCAGGCCUGCCAGCCGACAUGUCAAAACUUCUCAGCAGACCAAUAGAAUGUUACUACAAUUUUUCGUAAAAUUCUGCUUAGUCGUGUAGAUUCCAAAGUUCAUCGUGAAGACUGACUGACUAACUGGUUACAGUUUUGAAGUACAAAUUCAUCUGUCAUCAUUAAUGUAUGGUAGUUGGUAAAUAAACUCGUUAAAAUGUAAUCAAUAUAAUAUAGCUUACUGUGUAUACAUAUCCAUUUUUCUGUAAAUGAUAAAUUAAUGCAGGUUUAGCAUUGUUAGAAAGCUCUUAGAAAAAAAUAGCUUGAUUUGUAUGAUUUGUGUGUAAAAAUGAACACACUUGUUUUUACAUUUACAGCAUCAUGUUAGUUGAUUCAUUGAUUUGAUCUUCAAAAGUGUGGUCAAAAUGAUGUUGGGUGAAUGCAUGUGAUUUGUUAAGGGGCCAGCUGAAGGACGCCUCCGGGUGCGGGAAUUUUUCGCUACAUUGAAGACCUGUUGGUGACCUUCUGCUGUUUUUUUUUUCUAUGGUCGGGUUGUUGUCUCUUUGGCACAUUCCCCAUUUCCAUUCUCAAUUUUAUGUGAGGCAACCAUGUGGUUAGACACCAAGAUUGGACAAAUGUGUUUUAUAAUGUUUUAUCAUUGUUUAGUGUAUACUUUUU